UACGUAGGGUGCAAGCGUUGUCCGGAAUUAUUGGGCGUAAAGAGCUCGUAGGCGGUUCGUCGCGUCGGCUGUGAAAACCCGGAGCUCAACUCCGGGCCUGCAGUCGAUACGGGCGGACUGGAGUAUUGCAGGGGAGACUGGAAUUCCUGGUGUAGCGGUGAAAUGCGCAGAUAUCAGGAGGAACACCGGUGGCGAAGGCGGGUCUCUGGGCAACUACUGACGCUGAGGAGCGAAAGCGUGGGGAGCAAACAGG
rnacentral:rRNA from 1 species